GACGUAGGGCGCGAGCGUUGUCCGGAUUUAUUGGGCGUAAAGAGCUCGUAGGCGGUUUGUCGCGUCUGCCGUGAAAGUCCGGGGCUCAACUCCGGAUCUGCGGUGGGUACGGGCAGACUAGAGUGAUGUAGGGGAGACUGGAAUUCCUGGUGUAGCGGUGAAAUGCGCAGAUAUCAGGAGGAACACCGGUGGCGAAGGCGGGUCUCUGGGCCGUAACUGACGCUGAGGAGCGAAAGCGUGGGGAGCGAACAGG
rnacentral:rRNA from 1 species